CCUACGGGUGGCAGCAGUGGGGAAUAUUGCACAAUGGGCGCAAGCCUGAUGCAGCCAUGCCGCGUGUGUGAAGAAGGCCUUCGGGUUGUAAAGCACUUUCAGCGGGGAGGAAGGCGGUGAGGUUAAUAACCUCAUCGAUUGACGUUACCCGCAGAAGAAGCACCGGCUAACUCCGUGCCAGCAGCCGCGGUAAUACGGAGGGUGCAAGCGUUAAUCGGAAUUACUGGGCGUAAAGCGCACGCAGGCGGUCUGUCAAGUCGGAUGUGAAAUCCCCGGGCUCAACCUGGGAACUGCACUCGAAACUGGCAGGCUAGAGUCUUGUAGAGGGGGGUAGAAUUCCAGGUGUAGCGGUGAAAUGCGUAGAGAUCUGGAGGAAUACCGGUGGCGAAGGCGGCCCCCUGGACAAAGACUGACGCUCAGGUGCGAAAGCGUGGGGAGCAAACAGGAUUAGAUACCCGUGUAGUC
rnacentral:rRNA from 1 species